CUGUAAGGGGAAUGAUGUACUAUUAUAGGGCUCUCAAGAUGCUUACUUUUCUUGAUUCUGCAUCUGAGAUGGACAUAAG
rnacentral:snoRNA from 1 species